UACAGAGGGUGCGAGCGUUAAUCGGAAUUACUGGGCGUAAAGGGUGCGUAGGUGGUUGCAUAAGUUAGGUGUGAAAGUCCUGGGCUUAACCGGGGAACUGCGUCCGAUACUGGUUGGCUUGAGUUUGGGAGAGGGAUGCGGAAUUCCAGGUGUAGCGGUGAAAUGCGUAGAUAUCUGGAGGAACACCGGUGGCGAAGGCGGCAUCCUGGACCAAUACUGACGCUGAGACUCGAAAGCGUGGGGAGCAAACAGG
rnacentral:rRNA from 1 species